rnacentral:rRNA from 1 species
AUUGAACGCUAGCGGGAUGCUUUACACAUGCAAGUCGAACGGCAGCGCGGACUUCGGUCUGGCGGCGAGUGGCGAACGGGUGAGUAAUGUAUCGGAACGUGCCCAGUAGCGGGGGAUAACUACGCGAAAGCGUAGCUGAUACCGCAUACGCCCUACGGGGGAAAGCAGGGGAUCGUAAGACCUUGCACUAUUGGAGCGGCCGAUAUCGGAUUAGCUAGUUGGUGAGGUAACGGCUCACCAAGGCGACGAUCCGUAGCUGGUUUGAGAGGACGACCAGCCACACUGGGACUGAGACACGGCCCAGACUCCUACGGGAGGCAGCAGUGGGGAAUUUUGGACAAUGGGGGCAACCCUGAUCCAGCCAUCCCGCGUGUGCGAUGAAGGCCUUCGGGUUGUAAAGCACUUUUGGCAGGAAAGAAACGUCGCGGGCUAAUACCCCGUGGAACUGACGGUACCUGCAGAAUAAGCACCGGCUAACUACGUG